CAAAAUAAAUUAAAAUUAAAUCAAAUGUUAACAGUCUAUUAAAAUGUCCCAAUUACAUAGCCCAAAUUCAAUAGCCCAGUUACAAGCUCAUUUGCAAAACCAAUCAGCCCCAUCUCUAACCCAUAACCCUGAUGGCCCGAUAGGCCCAAUAUCUAAACCAAAUUUCAGAAACCUUAGCCUUUGCUUAGUACCGCAACCUCCAGGCGCCGUACAACCCCCAGCCCGCAGCACGGUACGACCGCCACGCGCACCUCCGUAGGCCCCCACGUCGAGUGCCACAUACCCUCCACAGCUGGCCCCGUACCUCCGCACCUGCAAACAAACAAGACAAACCACAGCAGCAAAUAUAAAAGAAGAGAAAAUUGUAUUUUUUUAUUUUUGAUUUUUUUGGGAUUUCGGCUAUAAAAUCGAAAGCAAUGUAUUGCUCUCUUUUUUAUGAACGCACGCACACAAAACAGAGAAAGAGAAAUCCAAAAAAUAGUAAAAGUGAUUUUCAAGUCUGUUUAUUCUUUUUUUCUUCUCAUUUGCUUGCGAUUUUAGAAAUAAAUAUUUGAGAUGAUACCAAUAAAGUCCCGAAUAUCUCAGAAAUAUUGAGAUACAGACGAGGUUCGGAUGAUAUUAAGUGUUUUUCUUACAUUUGGCUUCAUCUUCCUUGAUUGAACAGUAUUAGAUCUAGGUUUUUUUUAAGAGAAAAGAAAAAAUAAAAUAGCAUAUCAGGUUUCCUCGAAUGGUGCCUUCGUCUGUGGAAUCUGGUCGCUGCUCGUGCAUUGUCGGCCACCGAAUAAAAUGGUGGAUCGGCGGUCGCUGGAAUGGGUUUUAACAAAUUGAUUUUAGGACUGAAAUUAGGGUUGAAAG
rnacentral:lncRNA from 1 species